UUGAAAACAAUAGCGGAUGGCACCCUUCCCCCAUUGCCAGGGUAACGGCAGCCAUUUUGAAAAUUCUUCAGUCAAAGAGUGCAUCUACACUUGCAAAUUAACAUUCUUUUAAAGUUUCAUAAAUUUUGGUGUUUUUUGAAAUUUUUGACAUUUUUGCAGUUUCCAUGGUAACGGCGGCCAUUUUGAAAAUUCCGAAGUCAAACUGUAAAUCAGCACAUGCCACUUACCAUUCCUAUGAAUUUUUUUCCACUUUGGAACACUUUGAUGUUUUUCACAUUUUUGCUGUUUCCAUGGUAACGGUGGCCAUCUUGACCAUUCCAAAGUCAGAGGGACAACUUUACAUGGUGGUCAACAUUAUACCAUAGUUCCAUCAACUUUGGUCCAUUCUAUUCUGAGAACAGCUCCGGACAAAAAUAGUGGAAGAAAAAUAAUAAAAACUAGAAUUGCUAUUGCAAGCAAUAGCGGAUGUCACCCUUCCCC
rnacentral:lncRNA from 1 species